rnacentral:rRNA from 1 species
GACGAACGCUGGCGGCGUGCUUAACACAUGCAAGUCGAACGGGCCUUGUCCCCUUUUUUUUUGGGGGUGGGGUUAGUGGCGAACGGGUGAGUAACACGUGAGUAACCUGCCCCUCACUUCUGGAUAACCGCUUGAAAGGGUGGCUAAUACGGGGUGUUCUGGCCUGCUCGCAUGGGUGGGUUUGGAAAGAUUCGACCGGUUUUGGUUGUUUUGGUGGGGGAUGGGCUCGCGGCCUAUCAGCUUGUUGGUGGGGUGAUGGCCUGCCAAGGCUUUGACGGGUAGCCGGCCUGAGAGGGUGGGCGGUCACACUGGGACGGAGACACGGCCCAGACUCCUACGGGAGGCAGCAGUGGGGAAUAUUGCACAAGGGGCGCAAGCCUGAUGCAGCGACGCCGCGUGAGGGAUGGAGGCCUUCGGGUUGUGAACCUCUUUCGCCAGUGAAGAAGGUCCUGCUCUUUGUGGUGGGGUUGACGGUAGCUGGGUUAAUGAAGCGCCGGCUAACUACGUG